GAUGAACGCUGGCGGCGUGCCUAAUACAUGCAAGUCGAGCGGUAAGGCCACUUCGGUGGUACACGAGCGGCGGACGGCUGAGUAACACGUAGGAACGUACCCCAAACUGAGGGAUAAGCACCAGAAAUGGUGUCUAAUACCGCAUGUGCUCUUCGGAGUAAAGCUACGGCGGUUUGGGAACGGCCUGCGCAUGAUUAGCUUGUUGGUGAGGUAAUGGCUCACCAAGGCGACGAUCAUUAGCUGGUCUGAGAGGAUGAUCAGCCAGACUGGGACUGAGAACGGCCCAGACUCCUACGGGAGGCAGCAGUAGGGAAUUUUCCACAAUGGACGAAAGUCUGAUGGAGCAACGCCGCGUGCAGGAUGAAGGCUUUCGGGUCGUAAACUGCUUUAUCUGUGAAGAUUAUGACGGUAGCAGAUGAAUAAGGAUCGGCUAACUCCGUG
rnacentral:rRNA from 1 species